UUGGGUGAACUAACCCUUAAAUGACAGAAAUUUCAUUUUUUGGAUGAACUAACCCUUUAAUGAAAUGGCACACCAGAGCCUUAAUCAUGAAAUAUCAGUCCAUGUCUUGGCAAUAAUUGGCACUAUAUUUGCUGUGUAAAGAAUGCUAUUCAUUAUAUUUUAGUCACAUGACUUUUCAUCCACUAUAUUUAUGACAACUCGCCGGGGAAAGUAAUGGCUGUAAAUACAAACCACAUGAAUUAAGAAAAUAAUAAAUCGUUGGAUUUGGAUAGUAUGCUAAGACCUUGCAGAAGAUUUUUGUUUUUCAGGAGUAAAUAGUUUAAAAUAACGAUUGAAAAUUUCACUACCAUUCAAAAGUUAGGGGUCGGUAAGAUUUUUAAAAAUGCUUUUGAAAGAAGUCUUUUACAUCCUCACCAAAGGCUGCAUUUAUUUGAUAAAAAUACAGUAAAAACAAUAAUUUUGUGAAAUAAUAUUACAAUUUAAAUAAACCUUUUUUUAUAUUUUAAAAUGUAAUUUAUUCAUGUGAUGCAAAGCUGAAUUUUCAGCAUCAUUACUCCAGUCUUCAGCGUCACAUGAUCCUUCAGAAAUCAUUCUAAUACAGAGCUCUCAAGUUUUAUUAAAAGUUUGGAGUGAGAUUACAUCUGUUAGGGGAGGAGCCACUCAAAUAUUUGCAGCAGCGGCCCCUCUGCCCCACCAAAUUCUCACAAGUUUUUGCUAGUAAUUUAAUUUUCCCUACAGUGUUGUUCAUUAUUAACCAGCACAAAUAGAAAUUAUGCUGCUUGUUGACUGAAGUGCCUGUUCUUUGGCCUGAUGACCUUUAUGUUUUAUAUGCCUGUUCACACCUGAGUUCUCCUGUCUGCAAACAGAGCACCAGUUGUAGGAGCUGCUGGUGCCUAUGGUAAUGAAUGGCCAUUUGGUUGACCACUCACUUUUUAAAGUACACCUGGUGGCUGCUCCACUUAAUGCUUUCUUCUUCUUCCCUGUCUUGUCCACUGUCUCCUCUAUGGUCUCUUCUACUUUCUCCCCAACUGUCACUCUUACUAUCUUCUCCACCGUCUCUGCCUCCACCUCUUCCACUGUCUCCUCCUCUGAUCUAGCAACCUUUUUAGGGGGCUGACCCUUUGGUGCCCAGAAUGAAAUAAUACUCUUUUGCUUUUUCUCUGACAUCUUUGAAACAGAUAAAUGCAAUGAUUAAUGUAUGCAUUGCCAGUAAAUUAAAUAUUACUGAAAUGAUAGCCAGAGAGCUCUGCUUUAAGAUUAACAUUGCUGAAAAGAGUAUUAAUACAGUAGAAUGUGAAAUAAUAUAAUGAAAUACAUCUUUAGUACUUUCCUUAGUUUCAGAUAGCCAAACUAAGCUAAAGCAGUUGGGAGAGUUUUUGACUGCAUCAAUAAUAAUUUAGCAUGAAUUUGGCUAUAUUACCCAACAUCAGCUCUCACUAUUUUUGAUCACAGGCAAGUGAUUUCAUCUAGGAAUUGUAAAAUCAAAAUGCUAAAAAAAAUGAAGGGGUUGGGUGUAGUUUUGGUUUGAACAUUGGGGGGGGGUUAGCGGGGUCACAGGGCAUGCUCCCUCAUGAGAUUUAUUUGUGCGCUUAUUUGUUUAUUUUUGCAAAAUUGUCUUUUUUGUGGUUACAUCCACAUACAGAGUUGGUUAACAUAGCUGCAUGUAUUUUAUAUUUAAGCAUCUAAAAUCUUAAGCAUUUUGACAGAAUUUUACUUAAAGAACAUUACUAAACGGUUCUUAUAUUGAAAAUGUUAAUUUCCUGUCAUCUGCUAGGUUUUUCCUAAUAUCUGUAAUUAUUAGCAGAACACAUUUUACACAUGGGGAAAAUCAAUUGUGCUCUUGUCUUAAUUCUAACUUGUACUUGGCCUUUUGAAAAACUAUAGUUCUUGUAAUUGUCUUGUAAUAUAUUUAUAGAAUUUGUUACAAUAAGGAUAUAGUUACAGGUAAAAGCAGCCUAUACACAUAGUAACUAUAGCACAGUAUGCCACAGUUGUAAUAUAAAUCUUUGGUGAAAAAUCUAUUCCCUUAACAGAUAAUCUAUUAUAAAUUCUACAAGUUAGUCAAUUUACCACAAUAAAUACAAUAGGUAAAUUCUAGUAAAGGAGGUCUUUCUAUUUUAUGUUGGUGCAGGAUGAUGUUUUCUCAGCGUCGCGAUAGGAACGGCUCGCACAAAUCUUAUCACACUUUUGGAGCGCACUGGUGAACGCGCACAGAGUAUACAGCCAUUUGCGCGCCACGCAUGCACAAUUAAAUAAACUGGGCUUCGGUCAUGUUGCGCAGAUAAUUGGUCCGUUCCGUUCGUACGGGAACUUGGUGCUUAUAAUAGUUCAACGCGCAAUGUAUAAUAGCCUCCUCCAUUAAUUGUAUAUAGAGGGACAAGUUAUCCCUUACUUCUCAGCGUGAGAAAUACAAGGUGUGGCGUGUGAGCGUGUGAAAUGGUUGAAAUGCGUGUGUCUCACGGUGAAUGCGUGAGACUUGAGUGCCCUGCUAAUAUGCUGAUUUGGUGCUCAAGAAACAUUUCUUAUUAUUAUCAAGGUUGACAACAUUUGUGCUGCUUUUUUUUUUUUUUAUUGAAACCGUGAUAAUUUUUUUGUAGGACUCUCAUGAAUCUUUACUGUCACUUUUGAUCAAUUUAAUGUAUCGUUUUCUUUCCAAAAAAAAAAAAAAAAAUCUUACUGACCCGAAACUUUUCAAUGGUAUGUAAACAUGAAUAGCGUUUACGAAAACAUAAUAAUUUUAUACCAAAAUAUAUUUUUUUAUUAUCAUCUAUAAUCUACUUUGUUACAAAAGCUUACAGUGCACUAUUGCCUUCUGUGAUACGAGAGAGAUAUUACUGAACCUUCAUGCUGACACGCUAACAUUUCCAUAUUAGGAAAACUGAGUCUGGGAUCCACAGGCCCUGUGCAGCCGAAGGGCUGGUUCUCUGGCAGGAGCAGGAUGCCCUCAAAUCAGUAAAGCCAUUUUAUGGAGCACUUUAUACAGCAAUGUUUGUAGUUCCUCAGUUUUUGACCAUUUAUGAUACAGUAUAGUAAAAUUCAUGAUGAUCACAGUCACUGUUGCCAACAAUGCAACCAAAUGGUGAGUGAAGUAUUGGACCCAUAAUAUUCCCAUAAACCACAUUAGAUAAGAGGUAUGGGAGAACAAACAUGGAUUUUGUAUAGUGGCUUCAGAUCAGUGGUUUUUAACAAUCCAUGUGUUUUAACUUUGGGUGGUUAUCCCCAGUUUAAAUGAUUCAUUUAAAAAAAAAGCUUUGCUUUGAGACAGCUUAAAUUAAGUGUCUCCAUGGGAGAGUUGGUUGUGCGGAAACAUCCUGAUGUCAUUAGAGAAUUCUGUGCCCUAGAAACAGUCGCCCAAGAGCAGUUUAAAUGGCUUCCAUUUCCUAUUCCACACUCAGAGGAAGUUUGCAGACAGAAUCUGAGGGUACCUCCCACACUGACACAUCGCGUCAACACAUUUUAUUUUAACAUCCUCAUAUUUCACAGCUGUUUUAUUAUCACACAGAUGUGAAACAAUGAUAUCGCCUGUAAACAUCAUCUUAAGUCUAUUAAAUACGAUAACAGCUAUUUUUUAAUGUUUUUUUCUCUCAGGACAGGCCAAGUUUUGUUGUGGGGCCUCUACAGACACAGACCAAAUGCCCAAUAAUGACUCAAAAAAACAAACACAAAUGUAGUCAACAUGAAAGAUGAUCUGGAUUUAGAAUCAGGACAGGGGGCGCAUUUCCUGUGAGUCGACUCUGAAGAGACAUGACCCUUGAGUUCUUCUGCCUUGUUCCCAGUACUGAGGACAUUACAAAAAAGGUCCUAGUGGAAGGACUCUUAGUUUUUCUUAGUCUUAUUAAUCAUAAUGUUCAUAUUUGAUAGCUGCCGUCUUUUUAAUUGUUGAAUAUUAUAAGCUUAAAAGAGUUCCAGAUUUAACAUUAGUCUUAAUUUGGCAAAACUGUUGAUUUUAUUCAGGGAUGUAAACAGUUUUAACCGCUGUCAAAUGACAUUGAAUAACAUUUUUUAGCUGCGUCUGAAAGCUAAAACAUCUGCCUUCCUGUUCAGUCGGGCAUUGACUUAACAGAAAGUGACUACAAUGCUAUAAGGUUAAAAAACCCAUUUCAAACACCAUUUUUAUUCUUUUUAAUAAAGGCACAUUAUGUAAUUUUCACUGCUAGAGGUCGCUUAUUCAAAACAAAGUAGCUUGAUGACGCCUUGAUUUCGCGGAAUCAUGGGAGGUGUUAUCUUCAAUGUUCGUCAACAAAGUUUUUCCUCGACUAAGCCGAGAUGAUAAUAAGGCUAUUAAACGAUAACUGUGACUAUAUCAACAUGCAAUAUUGUUGACGAAAAAAGACAAGACUAAAAUGUAGUUAAAAGAACAAAAACUUUACCAAAAUUUUUGUUGAAAAAAGAGGAGCCAAAACAUUUCAGACUGCUGUAUAUGACUCUAUUAGACGAGCGUUCAUGUUUGAGGUUGCCAGAUAUCAAGAGCUCAAAUCCCCCAAUCAGAGCUUUUCUGUUAAACCAGUGGUCUCAAACUGCCGGCCCACGGGCCAUUUAUGUCCCCCCCUCCCCCUCCACCCGGCCCGCAACUGAUCUCAAAAACAAAACAUAAUCCGGCCCGCGAAAAUAUUAUCAUUAUUAUUAUUCUCUAGUUUGCCUCCUGUCUGAUAUGCAAAGAAAAAGUCGCAGUUCUAAGGGGCCAUUCACAUAUCGCGUCACAUAAGCGGCCGCACCGCUUUCUCCUUCUUUCCAAAGCGCUUUCGCUCCCGUGGCGUCUGUCGUUGCUAUGCAACCAUGAGCUGCGCUCUCCCCGAUGACGAGGAAGUUUCAGCAAAGUUUCAGUUUGAUUUCUACUCCUUGCAUUAGCUCUACUACUUGAUAUAUUUAUGGAGAUGAGAAAUAAAAACCUGCCCUGUACAGCUAUGAUCAGCUGUUUGGCUGCGCUUUCGGUGUUGUUACAGAAAGGCCGAAGCUUGGCCGGUCCUUGUCACAUGACCUGCGGUGCGCUUGCGGCAUUAUAAAAAGUUGAGAUAUUUUCAUCUCGCCGUGGCAUAGACACGCCUGGAAAAAUUAGUGCACCGCACCACAUGCCUAAAUUUCAGUCACGCGCGCCAAUUUAAACCACCGAAACGCGUCCGAUGCUACCAAUAAACGUUACCGAUGCUCAGACGGCAUCUUGGACAAAUGUGGCUCAGCACUGCCAGGUGUCUGGCAAGAAACAGAAUAGUGUACAAAUGUAUUCAUGGAUUGCAUUUGUUCAGUACAGUGUUGUUCAGUGCAAGAUUUUGAUGUUUUUUAAGCUAAAAUAAAGUAAGGGAUAAUAUUUGCACUGUUAAAAUCUAAUACUGUAUGUAAUAAUGAUAGAGACACUGCUGUUUACUUUUUUUUUAAGUAUGGCAAAAAUAUUUUAGUAGGCCUAUUGAAAUUUGAAUUAAAUGAGAAAUAAUGCAAAGGAAAGUAAAUUUUCAGAAAUUUUGCACUUUCUUGUGCUUAAAUGUUAAAAUGGCCCUCCUAUGAGGUGUCAAUCACAGCAAUGGUCCCCAGCCAAUUUGAGUUUGAGACCCCUGUGUUAAACGGAUAUGUGCUUUUUGCUUUAUGCAAUCUGGCAACCAUUCGCACACGCUCUCUGCGGAGGCGCCAUGAUCCGAAAACACAGACGGUACUGUACAAGUUCAGCGAUCUCCAUUUGGGGUAUUCCGCCUUAAUGAAAGUGUCAUUCAGUCAGUCUGUUUUCUGUCAUGGAUCUUGACUGUAAUGUUUGCGAUUGUGGUUGCUGAUUGUACUUACGUUACGCAACCUCUGUGUGGCAAUAUGUAGGGUCUUUUUUUUGCCGUUGUUUUAAUAGAGAAACAUUAAUGCAACUUGGAAUUAUUAGAAUUACUAUUAGGAAUUUCUCAGUUAUAAUAUAUUAGAGAGUAGGUUUUUGUUUUACCAGUUUUCAUAAUGUAGACAGGGCAAGUGUAUAUCUAAAGUCUUUGGUGUUUAUUAAUCUUAUAAUUGACAGCCUUUAAUAAAUCUGAUGAGAUGAGGUAAAAUAAACCAUGCAUAUGAAUCAAUAUUCUGUUGAUUUGUGCUUAUUGGUAAAAGAGCAACUUCUGAUGAAAUGUAAAAAUACAUUUCCCAAAUGACAACAAUCAUUGUAAUUAAAAUUGAGCAAAAUAAUAAUUUUCAUUUUAACCAUUAUACAGUAUGACGAAAAUGUGCAAGUUUCCAAUGAUUAAAACUAGACUAAAAUGCUCAGACAUUCAGUUGACUAAAACUUGACUAAACAAAAACAGGACAAGUUUGACUAAAAAUGAUAAAAACUAAAAGUUACAUUUAAAACAAGACUAAGACAAAGACUACAUUAAAAAAUAGCUGGCAAAAUAACACUAGUAUUAAAGAUUUAUUAACAUUACUGUAGUAUGAAGCAGGGUGUGGCUGAAAGCCGUUGGAGCGGAACGAGGCCGCUGGAGCGAUUAAAGCGUGACACACGACACGUGCCUUGAGAGUAGUGGAGCUUUUAUUAUGCCGCAGACGACCGUUUCCGCUUCUUCCGGUCAAGCGUAUGUGGGGUAACGCAGCGCUGUUUUAUCAUAUUAGAUACAUUUGUGUGUUGAAAGUUGUUAUAGUGCUACUCUGCGUUCGCUCGGCGGCUGCUAUGAGACACUUGUUGCACACUGCAGUAAGAUAGAUUGAUAUUAGGCAUGGUAAAACAUGGAACUCGUGGUAAAUCAAGAAAACAAUAUUUCAACAAUAAGACUUACUGUGUUGAGCUAUAUAACAAUUAUUUUUCUGUCAAUGAAUGUAUCCAAACAAUUGCUCUGUCUAAUAAAACAUAAUAUAUUAAAGUUUCCAUGGUUUCUACAAAAUAAAACCGGAAACCAAGGGUAACGCAGGUAUGAUGUCAUUGAUUGGCAAUGCACAGACACGGUCUGUGUCCUUGUUAAAAUUGCUUAUUUCUCUGGAUUUACACAAUCUUGGAAACAUUUGGGAUAACGUAAGUACUCAAGUCAACAAAAUACAUAACAUUGUUGUAGUGGUUUUUGGAUAUUUUAAUUUAAAAAUCUUACAUAUUGUGCCUUUAAGUGCCUGCACAGGAUUGUAGGAUAUCAGAUGCAGCAGAGGAUACAUACAGGUGCAUCUCAAUAAAUUAGAAUGUCGUGGAAAAGUUCAUUUAUUUCAGUAAUUCAACUCAAAUUGUGGAACUCGUGUAUUAAAUAAAUUCAGUGCACACAGAUUGAAGUACUUUAAGUCUUUGGUUCUUUUAAUUGUGAUGAUUUUGGCUCACAUUUAACAAAAAAAAAAAACAAUUCACCAUCUCAAAAAAUUAGAAUACUUCAUAAGAUCAAUAAAAAAGGAUAUUUUAAACAGAAAUGUCAGGCUUCUGAAAAGUAUGUUCAUUUCUAUGCACUCAAUACUUGGUUGGGCCUCCUUUUGCAUGAAUUACUGCAUCAAUGCGGUGUGGCAUGGGGGCGAUCAGUCUGUGGCACUGCUCAGGUGUAAUGGAAGCCCAGGUUGCUUUGAUAGUGGCCUUCAGCUCUUCUGCAUUGUUGGGUCUGGUGUCUCUCAUCUUCCUCUUGACAAUACCCCAUAGAUUCUCUAUGGGGUUCAGGUCAGGUGAGUUUGCUGGCCAAUCAAGCACAGUAACACCAUGGUCAUUGAACCCGCUUUUGGUACCUUUGGCAGUGUGGGCAGGUGCAAAUCCUGCUGGAAACUGAAAUCAUCAUCUCCAUAAAGCUUGUCAGCAGAAGGAAGCAUGAAGUGCUCUAAACUUUCCUGGUAGAUGGCUGCGUUGACUGUGGACUUCAGAAAACACAGUGGACCAACACCAGCAGAUGACAUGGCAGUCCAAAUCAUCACUGACUGUGGAAACUUCACACUGGACUUCAAGCAACAUGGUUUCUGUGCCUCUCCACUCUUCCUCCAGACUCUGAGACCUUGAUUUCCAAAUGAAAUGCAAAAUUUACUUUCAUCUGAAAAGAGGACUUCGGACCACUGAGCCACAGUCCAGUUCUUUUUGUCCUUAGCCCAGGCACAAAUCGAGGCAUUCGGGACGCAGAAAACCAAAUCUAAACACGCCGAUGGGGAAACUGCACUUCAGCCAGAUUGUUUGACAAAAAGCAAGAUGCACAGUUUAGAUUUACAACAAGCCUACAUCAUGUCACACACGGUUGAGCAUGGAAACCCUGCUGGACUUCAAAGGAAGAUCAGUAUAAGCCCCUGAGCAGGAAUGUGAACACUGGCACUCAUGCUUGAUCAUGCUGGAUUUUUACUUAUGUCAUGUAACAGUUCAAGAUAUAGCUACUGCAGGAAGCUCUUAAAAUAUGUUAAAGAUGUCUUGUCAUGUGGUGUUUAGGUGCUAUAACUGGACAAAUUUUAUGCUAUUUGAACAAUAAAUUAUCAUUUGUUUUCACAUAGCAGGAAAUGAGCAACGAACUGCAUGAAUAAGGACAUUUACAGGGUUUAACUAUGAUUCAGCCCAUGUCUAAUGUAAACAUGAAUGAACUAAGCAGAAAUACUCUUGAGGAACAGCGUGACAAUACACCUUUCUACUUCUGCUUUUGUAAGCAAUUUUUUUGCAAGGUUCACUGUUUCUCAUAAGAUAACAGUUUCUGAGAUAUUCCACUGUAAACUUUGCAGAAAGGUUUUGUUUUAUCUUAAGCACUUAUCUUUUCUUCAUUUGACACCAGUUCAUUAACAUGAUGUUCAGUUGAUGUAUCAACAACUUCAUAAGCAACACUUUUGACCAUGCUAAAAGCUGCAAGAUUGGGGUGUAAAAUAUAUUGUGGUUCUACUUUUUUUCAUUUAGCACCUAAUUUCACUCAGUAAUAGAGCUUCAGACAUCUGUGGGUAACAGCAGCUGUUUAAAUUAGUUUGAAAGUGUUUAAAAUUGUGUUAGAUGUGUGACCUGCUGGUGCAUGUGUGAGCGAACACCUCUCACCACUGACUGACCUGCUAACAUGAGCUGUCACACUCCAUUUCAACAAACACAAAUGACAUUCGUUGUUAUAAAGAGAUUCUACACUGUCCUGUUGCCAAUUAGUGAAAUAAAAAUGCCUUUUAGAUUCA